AGUAGUUUAUACAAGCGAUAUGGCAACUAAUUGAAAUGUCAAAAUCGUAAUGUCAAAUUCAAAUUGGAUAUGAAAAAUUCGAAAUUUUAAAUUGAAGCCAGAGAUAAAUUGAAGCUUUUCAUAAAUUCAAGCAAAGUUUCUAAAUUAAAUUACAACUAACAAAAGAAAGUCGAUAUUAUUGGAGAAAAUAUUCAUAAAAAUCUAAAAAGUCUUGCAAUUAGCGUGCAGACUUUAUGCAUUUAAGGUUCGAAGCUUGGUCCUUUUAUAAUUAUGUGCACAGAAAUUUUAAGGUAACUUUUGGACGGAAACAAAAUGUGAUCGUGCUUUGAAAUUCAGCUCACCACGGUUGUAAAGGAUCAACAGCUACGAAAAUAUAAUUAUAAAAAAAUAGGCAAUAUUAGACGGGAACUAUAUGUGAUCGUGCGUUAAAAUUCAGUUCAUUCCAUAUUCCAUAUGUAAUUAUAGUCAAUAGAGCCAAACCUAAGGAAUUUGUGGUAUCCAGCUUGGAUGUUUCGUUGCAAGUUGAAGAAUUUGUUUCUAAUAAGUUUAAUGAACAAUUUUCAAAGAGAUUGCGACUAGUUUAAUCGUGGCAAAGAUAUAUUUUAAUGCAAACCUAAGAAAUUUCGUAAAUUUUGAUAUGUACACUUCGAAAAUUACUUUUAUGUGCAUCUGUAAAAGAAAAUACUAAUCUACACUUAAAAACAAAACGAUUAAGCUCUACAUAAACCCUAUAUAUUCAAUAUACACAAAUUUCAACAUUCAGCCAUGCGUGUAGCAGCACACUUGUAUGCAUUUGAGCUCAUAUAAAGUGUCCCAGACCAUGGCCAACUUUUUACGCGUAUACAAAUGUGGAAAAUAUGUAUGUAUUGGAUUAAGGACAUGCGAUCGAUAUUCCCAGCGCAGUCGAACGCAACGUAUACAUAUGUGCUGCAGCACAACAAUAGCAACGUAAUAGCAAGAAAUGGCAUGCAAAAAUGUAUCUACUUGUCGUGUAAACCAGCUACAUAUAUAUACCUGCUCCAAGCAACCCCCGCUCUUUGUGCAGCGCAUGCGCUUCAUACAUAGGACACUUCCGGUGCACAAAUGGGGUUGCACUAGCAGUGGGUGCAAUGGGUGGGCAGACUUUUUUAUGUCUACAAUAUCAAAGUAUAUAUGCGCGUGUGUUUUUGUCGUUUUUCACGUACACAACAAAAACAAAAUAUCAGAAUGGGUGCCGACGAAGACAAUAGGUGUAGUAAAAAUAGUAAAUCACGAAUGGCAGUUAAGGUGGAAGGUAGAAGUUAACACUUCAAAUUUCUAUUCUUAUGUACACACCUUCAUUAUUUAAGGGAAUAUCUGUAUGUAGAAGAGGGAAACAUCUACAGUGGGUAUAUUUUUCAUUUUAAGCUAUUUAAGUUAUCUAAGUAAAUACUGAGAAAAUAGGACAAAAUAAAGUAAAUAACUCUACCAAGGCGCUCGGUUCUAACCUAUAUAAUACCUUCCACAUACUAUUUUAGAAAUCUUAAUCUAAAUAUUGAUAUAUUGGAAAUAUUUGAAGUCCUUUAAUUAUUUUAUAUUAUGAGAUUGGUUUUGAACUAUAGUACUCUAAAAAUCAAAUCUUCCAUUAUUUAAAGUCUAUGUUAUGCUCAAAUUGCAAUCUAGAGCAUGCAGUCCCAGUGUAAGCUCAGAUUUUGGAGAUGUUUUUGUUGUUUAUUAAAACUAAUUUACCGCAAGUCUGCAAUAUUUGUGUGUGUAUCUUCCUCAAUGAAACACAAAUCAAUGCAAAUUAAAUUAUUAAUUAAAAUUUAACAACAACAACAUCAACAGCAAUAACGAUUCCACACACUUUUAUCGAUUUCUGCAGCAUUCGCAUUCGCAUUCGUGUCCAGUCAAUCGUUCAUUGCCUCGCUGCUUACACAUACACACGCAAUUGGCUCCAAAAGCGAUUAUGACGCGCAGCGCCUCAUAUACUAUGUGUCAGCUGGCGCUGUUAUAAAUACAUAUUUUUGAUACAUACAUACACACAUUCCCCCCAAUAGCUAGCCAAACUAAUACAGUGCGCGCGCAUAUGAAAACCAGUUCGCUACCCAGCAUCAUUUUGAAUCAACUAUUCGCCAUCGUCAUUGCCAAAAACAUUUCAUACACUUUAAGUUGUUGUUGUUUUUGUAUUUUUUCAUUUUUUUUCCCCAAAACCUGCAUAGCUGUGCGCCCACCCAAACGCGCUGCAAUAACCACUUUUGCUGCUUACACCUGCCCGCGGCAGCACUUCGCCUAGUGACGUCACAAAACUGGCUGGCAAAACUGGUUUUUGACACUACAGAAAUGUGCGCAUUGGCAAUUGUUGUUGUACAUACGUAGUGUGCGCGCUCUCAUCAACACUCCCAAUCGAUAAAACAAUAAUCAAGCUGAACUUGACUGUUAUUCGACUUGCUGGUGGUAGUGGUGUUGUUGUUGAAGCCGGUUUUGCUAUAACUGGUUUCUCAAGCGCUAAAUACACACACAUUUUGUGACGUCACUGUAUGUAGAGAAUGCGCAUGUCACAAUCGUUUGAGCAGCACAAUUCGAGCGCAGUGCGAACACAGUGGGACGAGGCGGGGUAUUACUUAGAUACACUGAAUCUACGAAACCCAGAGAAAAAUCAGGCUUAAUUUCUGGCAUAAAAGGAAACGCAUAUAAGUCAUCUGCAUCUCGGAGGGAUCUUAGAGCACUUGCCAUAUAUAAAAUCUUCGAAACCUUAAUAAAAUUUGGGUGCGACUGACGACUUAAUCGAUCUACUAUUGAAUAUUUGAUAUAUCGAGUCUUUAAUAUCCAACAUCU